rnacentral:rRNA from 1 species
CGCGUAGGUGGUUUGUUAAGUUGGAUGUGAAAUCCCCGGGCUCAACCUGGGAACUGCAUUCAAAACUGACAAGCUAGAGUAUGGUAGAGGGUGGUGGAAUUUCCUGUGUAGCGGUGAAAUGCGUAGAUAUAGGAAGGAACACCAGUGGCGAAGGCGACCACCUGGACUGUAACUGACGCUGAGGCGCGAAAGCGUGGGGAGCAAACAGGAUUAGAUACCCGUGUA